rnacentral:lncRNA from 1 species
CAACAUCAAUCUCAGAACAUAGUGGAUACUAGGGAUCAAUCCCCGUCAAAACUAACUUGAUUACAUGAUAGAUCUCAUCCUACUCAUCACCGCCCAGCGAGCCUACGAAUAGAUUACUCACGAACGAUGAAGAGCUUCAUGGAAUUGGAGAGGGAAGAAGGUUGAUGAUGACGAUGGCGACGAUCUCCUUGAUCCGGAGCCCAAAACGGACUCCAGAUCAGCCCUCCAGGGCAAGAACGGGAUGUGGCGGCGCCUCUCGAUCGAAAAUGCGAUGAAAUCUUCUCUCUUGAUUUUUUCGGGACGAAAGGGAAUAAAUAGCGCUAGAGUUGGGGCGGCAGAGCCACGUGGGCCCCACAACCCUGACGGCGCGGCCUGGAGGGUGGCCGCGGCCACAGGGCUUGUGGCCCACUGGCUCACCCCCUCCGGUGGAUCUUUGCGCAGGUGUAUUCAUAUUUUCCAGAAAUAUUCUCCGUAAAUUUUCAGGACGUUCCGAGAACUUUCAUUUCUGCACAAAAACAACACCAUGGCAAUUCUGCUGAAAACAGCGUUUGUCCGGGUUAGUUCCAUUCAAAUCAUGCAAAUUUGAGUCCAAAACAAGGGCAAAAGAGUUUGGAAAAGUAGAUACGAUGGAGACGUAUCACACCCAAGGCUAUAAAGGGGUUGUCAAUCCCUUCAAGAUUGAUUGCAAAGUAAGAUCUGAAGGCGGAAUGUGUAACGAAGUAAAAGAGUAAGGCUGAAAAUAUGGUGUGAAGUAGACCCGGGGGCCAUAGUGUUCACUAGAGGCUUCUCUCAAAAUAGCACUGUUCAAGAAUUCGUCCGAUUAACGAGUUAACUUGCCAGUUAAUUGCUACUCUUAGGGUGACCGAAUCGAAUAACACCUAUACAUCGUGUUAACUUGCCAUGUCGAUUAAUUGGCCAGUUAGACCGAUUAACGAGUUGUCAUACCGAUUAAUUAGUUGCCAGACUGAUUAAUCACUACUACCUACUAACUGGUGGGCAAAGGAAUCCCAAAAUUUUGGCACAUAAUGCCUCCCAACCCCUCUUUCUACUAAAUACCUAGGGUAUGGCCCUCCUCGCGCUUCCUCAUGCUCCUUUCAUCCCCUCCUAACCUGGUCGGUGGCUAGUCGUGUUCUCAUCGGUGCCAGUCUUCACACUACACCUGCAAGAUCUAGUUGCUCUGUCAUUCUGGUCGCUUGCCUCGACCCCCACCCCCCUUGGACACUCCCCAUCCUCUCCCUUGGGAUGCUCCCCAAUCUAUUCCUCAAUGGCGUCACCAGCAGGCAAGGUACUACCAUCUCCCCCCAUACCUUAGUGGAGAAUCCAGCAUUCAUAUAUUAGUAGAUUAUGAAUUACAAUUUUGUAGAUGGAUCGAUGGAACUGUUGGUUUUGGCUGUUGUCUGUAGUAUAUUGUGUGAUGUAUGUUAGCAAGUAUAUGGAUAAGUUUAAAUGUUUAAUUGCUCAUUUUGAAUUUUGAUAUUUUAUAUAUUUAGAUGUAUAAAGAUUAUUAAUUUUACCUCUUAUCUAUUUUUAUAUGCCUACAAUAGAAUAUUUUGGUAUAUUACAUAGCUAGGUGCAUGGAAUUAUGGUAUGCUAAAUAAAAAAAUUAGAUAUAAGUUGGCAAGUUUCUGUUUAAUCUACCGAUUAAUGGUCGACCGAUUAAUCCAGUUAAUUGGCUGAUUCACCGAUUAAUCGCUACUCCCUAGCCGACCGAGCAACUACCAGUUACCGAUUUCUUGAACAAUGCAAAAUAGCAAAUAUUACGGUUGGUGAACAAAUUACUGUCGAGCAGUUGAUAGAACCGCGCAAAGUCAUGACGAUAUCUAAGGCAAUGAUCAUACAUAUAGGCAUCAUGUCUGAGACAAGUAGACCGAUACUUUCUGCAUCUACUACUAUUACUCCACACAUCGAUCGCUAUCCAGCAUGCAUCUAGUGUAUUGAGUUCAUGACGAACAGAGUAACGCCUUAAGCAAGAUGACAUGAUGUAGAGGGAUAAACUCAAACCAAUGAUGAAAACCCCAUAUUUUUACCCUUGAUGGCAACAAACAUGAUGCGUGCCUCGCUACCCCUUCUAUCGCUGGGUGAGGUCACCGCACGGUAUGAACCGAAAACCAAGCACUUCUCCCAUUGCAAGAAUCAUAGAUCAAGUUGGCCAAACAAAACCCACAACUCGAAGAGAAUUACAAGGAUAUGAAAUCAUGCAUAAGAGAGAUCAGAAGAAACUCAAAUAAGAUUCAUAGAUAAUUUGAUCAUAAAUCCACAAUUCAUCGGAUCUCGACAAACACACCGCAAAAGAAGAUUACAUCGUAUAGAUCUCCAUGAAGAUCAUGGAGAACUUUGUAUUGAAGAUCCAAGAGAGAGAAGAAGCCAUCUAGCUACUAGCUAUGGACCCGUAUGUCUAUGGUGAACUACUCACGCAUCAUCGGAGAGGUCAUGGUGUUGAUGAAGAAGCCCUCCGUAUCUGAAUCUCCCCGUCGACAGGGCACCCGAACGUGCCCCAGAUGGGAUCUUGCGGAGACAGAAGCUUGCGCCGGCGGAAAAGUAUUUUCGUGGAUCCCCCUAUUUUUUAGGGAUUUUAGGGAAUUUAUAGGCGAAGGAGCUAGGGCAGGGGAGGCCCAGGGAGCCCACAAGCCUGGGAGGCACGCCCCCUAGCCGCGCCAUGGGGGCUUGUGGCCUCCCCCGGGACUCCCUGCCUUGGUUCCCAAGCUUUCUGCGUAUCUUCUGUUCCGGAAAAAUUCUUUUCGGAAGUUUUAUUCCAUUUGGACACCGUUUAAAAUCCUCCUCUGAAAAGGGUAAAAAACACGGAAAAAACAGGAACUGGCACUUGGCACUGAGUUAAUAAGUUAGUCUCAAAAAAGAUGUAAAAGGCAUACAAAACAUCCAAAGUUUGACAAGAUAAUAGCAUGAAACCAUCAAAAAUUAUAGAUACGUUGGAGACGUAUCAAGCAUCCCCAAGCUUAACUCCUGCUUGUCCUCGAGUAGGGAAGUGAUAAAGACUGAAUUUUUGAUGUGGAAUGCUACCUAGCAUAGUUGUCCUUUGUAACUUCUUUCAUGUGACAUGAAUGUUCAGAUCCGUAAGAUUCAAAACGAUAGUUUGCUAUUAACAUGAAAACAAUAAUACUUCAAGCAAACUAGCAAGGUAAUCAUGAAGUUUCGAAAUAACAAGGCCAAAGAAAGUUAUCCCUACAAAAUCAUAUAGUCUAGCUAUGCUCCAUCAUCCCCAUACAACUAAUUUAAGUCAUGCACAACCCCGGUAUUGGCCAAGUAAUUGUUUUCACACUCUUACUUUCUUAAACCUUUUUCAACUAUCAUGCAAUACAUGAGCGUGAGCCAUGGAUAUAGCACUAUAGGUGGAAUAGAGUGUGGUGGUGGUUGUGAGACAAAAAAAGGAGGAGAUGUUCACAUUGACUCGGCGUAUCAAAGGGUUAUGGAGAUGCCCAUUAAUAGAUAUCAAUGUGAAUGAGUAGGGAUUGCCAUAGAAAGGAUGCACGAGAGCUAUAAGUAUGUGAAAUCUCAAAAGGAGAACUAGUGGGUGUGCAUCCAACUUGCUUGCUCACGAAGACCUGGGGCAAUUUGAGGAAUCCCAUCCUUGGAAUAUACAAGCCAAGUUAUAUAAUAAAGAUUCCCACUAGUAUAUGGUGGUGACAAAGCAAGAAGCUCUCAAUCAUGAAGAACAUGGUGCUAUUAUGAAGCACAAGUAUGGAAAAAGAUAGUAGCAUUGUCCCUUCUCUCUUUUUCUCUUUUUUUAUUUGGGCUCUUUGGCCUCUCUUUUUUUAUGUGGGCAACUUUGGCCUCUUUUUUUUAUUUCCUCACAUGGGACAAUGAUCUAAUAAUGAUGAUCAUCACACUUUUAUUUACUAACAGCUCAAAGCGCAGAACGAUGAUGACUCUAUAGGAAAUGCCUCCGGCAGUGUACCGGGAUGUGCAACGAUCUAGCUUGGCGUAUGACGUUGAAACAUCUCGCUAGCUAUCUUACGAUCAUGCAAUGGCAAUAUGAGAUUGACGACACAAGUCAUGAGACGGAACGGUGGGAGUUGCAUGGAAAUAUAUCUCGGAAUGGCUAUGAAAAUGCCAUAGUAGGUAGGUAUGGUGGCUGUUUUGAGGAAGGCAUAUGGUGGGUUUGUGCAACGACAAAAAUUGCGCGGUACUAGAAAGGCUAGAAAUGGUGGAAGGUAAAAGUGCAUCUAUACCAUGGACUCACAUUAGUCAUGAAGAACUCACAUACUUAUUAGAAAAGUUUUUAUUAGUAAUUGAAACAAAGUGCUAAACACAUACUCCUAGGGGAAGGGUUGGUAGGAGUUAACCAUCGCGUGAUCCCGACCGCAACACAAAGGAUGACAAUCAAUAGAUCAAUCAUGCUCCGACUUCCUGACAUAGCGGUUCACCAUACGUGCAUGUUACGGGAAUCACUAACUAAAACACAAGUAUUUCUAGAUUCACAACACCCUACUAACAUAACUCUUUAAUAUUACCAAAUGCACGUCUCAAAACUAAUUGAGAGGGAUCAAACUUCUCUUUCUACUCAAUGCACAUGAAGAUGGAAGUUUUUUGUAUCCUCUUUGGGUACCUAUAACCUUUGGGACUACUUUCAUAGCACAAACCAACUACAAAGUCACGCACCGCCGUGCUCUAAAAGAUCUAAGUGAAGCACAUAGAGCAAAAUUAUCUAGGCUCAAAAGAUAUAAGUGAAGCACAAUGAGCAUUCUAGCAAAUUCACGAUGAGUGCAUGUCUCUCUCAAAAGGUGUGCAGCAAGGAUGAUUGUGACACAACAAAAAGAAAAGACUCCUACGAUACAAGACACUCCAAGCAAAACACAUAUCAUGUGGUGAAUAAAAAUAUAGCUCCAAGUAAUGUUACCGAUGGAUUGAAGACGAAAGAGGGGAUGCCUUCCCGGGGCAUCCCCAAGCUUAGGCUUUUUGGUGUCCUUGAAUUUGGCUUGGGAUGCCUUGGGCAUCCCCAAGCUUGAGCUCUUUCCACUCUUUAUCCAUUUGUCCAUGAGAACAUCACCCAAAACUUGAAAACUUCACAACACAAAACUUAAACAGGAACUCGUGAUGUCAUUAGCACAAGAAAACAAACUACCACCUCUUUAGGUACUGUAGAAAUCUUAAUUUCUAUUUAUAUUGGUGUUAGAUUACUGUAUUCUCACUUUUCCAUGGCUAGUACCCCCCGAUACUAUCCAUAGUUUCAUCAAAACAAGCAACCAACUCAACAAAAACAGAAUCUGUCAAAAACAGACAAGUCUGUAGAAAUUUGUAUACUUUGUAUACUCCUGGUACCUCAAAAAUUCUGAACAAAUACGAAUGCCUGGGAAAAAGGCAUAUCAAGCAGCAGCAAAAAGAAUCAACUCAAAAUCUCUUUCUGAAUAAAAAUGAAAAAUAAUCUCGUGAGCGAAACGUUUCUGUCUUUUUCCAGCAGGAUCAAACAACCAUCACCAAGACUAGUCAUAAAGGUUUUGCUUAGCUCAAACACAAAAAGAAACACAAAAUACACAAUCAUAACAGUAUUAUGAUGGUGUGGACGCAACAAGACAGAAAGGAAAAGAUAAAUACAUUGGGUUGCCUCCCAACAAGCGUUAUUGUUUAACGCCCUUAGCUAGGCAUUGAUAAUUCAAUGAUGCUCACAUAAAAGACAAGAAUUGAAGCACAACGAGAGCAUCAUAAAGCAUGUGAAAAUCAUAUCUAAGUCUAACAUGCUUCCUAUGCAUACGCAUUUUAUAGGAAAACAGAUUGUCAAGACAACCAAUAGUUACCAUAUGCAAGGAAGAAGAGAGAGACAAUAGCAAUCUCAACAUAACGAGAGGUGAUUUGGUAACAUGAAAGUUUCUACCACAAUAUUUUCCUCUCUCAUAGCAAUUACAUGUGGGAUCAUAAUCAAAUUCAACAAUAUAGCUAUCACAAAGGAUAUUAUUUUCAUGAUCCACAUGCAUGCAAAGUUGUCGCUCUUCAAAAAUAGUGGGAUUAUCAUCAACUAAAGUCAUGACUUCUCCAAACCCACUUUCAAUAAUAUUGCAAAUAUCAUAUUCAUCUUGAGGUUUACUUUUUUUUCAAGAUCAUAAGAAAAAUAAUCACCCCAUUCAUGAUCAUCGCAACAAGUAGAGGACAUAGCAAAACUAGCAUCCCCAAGCUUAGGGUUUUGCAUAUUUUUAGCAUGAUUGACACUAGUAGGAUUUAUAGUGAAACCAUUGCAAUCAUGCUUUUCAUUAAAGGAGCCCUCGUGAAUCACUUCAUAAAUUUCUUCAUCACGAUUUUCAGAUUCACGCAUCUCAAGCAAAACUCCAUAGAGAAAGUCAAGUGCACUCAACUCACUAGCAAUUGGAUCAACAUAAUUGGAUCUCUUAAAGAGAUUAGCAAGUGGAUGAGGAUCCAUAUCAAUAGAUUUUCAGCAAGCAUAUUGAAGGCACAUGGCAACACAAGCAAACAGAAAGCAAGAAAGGGCGAACGAAAAAGGCAAACGAAAAAGGCAAAUAUUUUUGUAAAUUUUUGUUUUUCAGAAGUGGGGGAGAGGAAAACGAGAGGCAAAAAAGUAAAUGCAAGAGAUGAGUUUGCGACACUUACUUGGAUGAGUUCUUGACUUGAUCCUCCCCGGCAACGGCGCCAUAAAUCCUUCUGUUACUUCUCAAACAACAGCGCCAGAAAUUGGCACGUUGACGGAGACUUGGCUUGCGUUGGUUUUCCCUUGAAGAGGAAAGGGUGAUGCAGCACAGGAGCAGUAAGUAUUUCCCUCAGUUUGAAAACCAAGGUAUCAAUUCAAUAGAAGAAUCUCGUCAAGUCCAGAGUACAUGCGCAAACACAAAAGUGUCGAUUGUAUCCAUGUUCUUAGCCAAAGUGUCGAUUGUAUGCAUCUUUUCAUCUACCAUAGUGUUGAAAACCUUUUGUGAAUUAAUGAAUUCUUUAAUGGCGUUUUCGAGAUAAGAGGAGUACUUAAUAUUAUUGGUAGAACGAUUUCCAUAAGAACUACCAUAACCACUAGAAGGAUUACCCGGAUAUGGCCCAGUAUUGAAAUUACCCCUAUAUGGUGACCCUUCUUUUUUCCAUGUGGUGGAAGGGUGCGAGGGAUUGAUAUGUUUUUAUACACCGAAUGUUGCUGACUGAUUUGAAAAAAAAAUUGGCACGGUCAAAAUCGCACACCAAAUAAAAAAUUGAAUACAUUGAAUGAAAGAGCUUCAAAAUUAAUGAACAUGGUGAACUAAAAGAAUUGAACGGAAGAACUCCUUGAGGCUGGUUGUAAUGGGUAGUAUCAUAUAGUAGUAUCAUGCAUAUAUACUCCCAUUACGGACAGCCUGAGUAAUUAGUUGGCAUGCAUGAUACUCCCAUUACGGACAGCCUGAGUAAUUACUGACCCCGUCAAAUCGAGUGAUGCAAUUCUAAAUUAAAGAUCUUAAUUAAUUCUCUGACCUUAAAAAUUAGAAAGCAUAAUGUAUAGUAUAAAAUUACUAAAUGAGAAAGCUUUAAGAAAUUAUUGGCUCAAUCAAAAUUAGAUAUCAAAUUUCAAUUAAUCAAUUAAAGACUUUAAUUAAAUGUGAGCUCUUUAAAAUUAGGAAGAUAUAAAGCAUUAUUAUAUUUAACAAAAGAUAUAAAGGAUAUGAUAGAAACUGGUAUGUCAACUGAUGUACAUGCAUCUCAAGUAUCCACCUCAAUUUGCUGGCCCAUGGUCACGAGAGAGCUGAUAGCCGAGGCUCAAGACCUCACCUGCUCUAUUCUUCGGCUGUGGCAGUCCCGCUCCUCUGAUUGGCCGGCGGCCUCCUCCCACGGAUCACUCCCCCAAGCGAACAUCCACCGUCCACGCCUCCGCCAUCCAACGGCCCGCGCACAGCAUCACGCGGAUCGCCCCCGGACUCCCGCGGGUAUAUAACCCCAUCCCCGGCGGCUCCAUUUUCAAACCACCAAACCGAGCUCCCCACUCCACAGCUCACCAACCCUCUCGCCGGAGUCUAGCGAAGCAAGCAAGCAAGCAGGCCAGGAAGAUGGACGGCAGCAAGGCGAAGAAGGUGGCGGCGAAGAAGCUGGGCGGGCCGAGGAAGAAGUCGGUGACCAAGUCCAUCAAGGCCGGCCUCCAGUUCCCCGUCGGCCGCAUCGGCCGCUACCUCAAGAAGGGCCGCUACGCCCAGCGCGUCGGCUCCGGCGCCCCCGUCUACCUCGCCGCCGUCCUCGAGUACCUCGCUGCCGAGGCAAGCCCCGCGCCGCCGUCUUUCUCCCUUCCCUAGCUCUCUUCCGACGAACCACCGCCCUUCUCUCCCUCUCUUUCUUCCGACGUAGCUUUCUCCCCGGUCUGAAACAAGCUGCCGAUCUUGUUUUGCAGGUGCUGGAGCUGGCCGGCAACGCGGCCAAGGACAACAAGAAGACCCGCAUCGUACCGAGGCACCUGCUGCUGGCCAUCCGCAACGACCAGGAGCUCGGGAGGCUGCUCUCCGGCGUCACCAUCGCCCACGGCGGCGUCAUCCCCAACAUCAACCCGGUGCUGCUCCCCAAGAAGUCCGCCGAGAAGGCCGAGAAGACCGAGAAGGCCGGCGCCGCCGCCAAGUCGCCCAAGAAGGCCGCCAAGUCCCCCAAGAAGGCUCCCAAGAAGGCCACCAAGGCCUAGAUCCGGGCGGGCGGAGCGGCCGCGCAGACGAAGCUGAACUGACGAUGCUCCGUCGGCCCUCGCGUGCCUAGCGUCCCUGUUAAGUUAGCUAUGUUAUUAUGGUGUGUUCCCAGGGAGUGUUAAAGCUUGCACUUUUGCUUUGCCCCCGCCAUGUAAUCCUGAACGAAGAGGAAACCUCUGGCUUCCUCUGUUCCUAUGAACCAAUCUGGUAUCCAAUGCAGCGCUUGCUAAAACGCCGCUGAUUGUCUGUUCUCAGUUUAACUGUAUUCGCAUUUGUUGGGUGAGCAAUGUCGAGAGAGUUGCCAUUGCUCACAGAUUUCAUGACUGCGUGGCAGCUCGAGCUCAGCUGGUUAUCCGUAGUCAAUCCCACAUGAAUUUGUAGCUUGGUGCAUUUUCUGAUUUGGCUUGGUAACAACUUACAGUGGUCGUCUUCGCGUUCUUGCGAACGAGUCCUGUGUUACGGAUGCUUCCUCUGUUCUUCUGAAUAGUGCAGUGUUUGUUAAAACGCCACUGAAUUUCCGUUCUGUGUUAACUGCAUUUGCGUUUGUUGUGCC